UACGUAGGGUGCGAGCGUUAAUCGGAAUUACUGGGCGUAAAGCGUGCGCAGGCGGUUCGUUGUGUCGGCGGUGAAAGCCCCGGCUCAACCUGGGAAUGGCCGUUGAAACUGGCGAACUGGAGUGUGGCAGAGGGGGUGGAAUUCCGCGUGUAGCAGUGAAAUGCGUAGAGAUGCGGAGGAACACCGAUGGCGAAGGCAGCCCCCCGGGCUGACACUGACGCUCAGGUCACGAAAGCGUGGG
rnacentral:rRNA from 1 species